rnacentral:tRNA from 1 species
GUUAGGGUGGCAGAGCCUGGUAUUGCAAAAGACCUAAGCCCUUUAUAAUAGAGGUUCAAAUCCUCUCCCUAACU